rnacentral:rRNA from 1 species
GAUGAACGCUGGCGGCGUGCCUAAUACAUGCAAGUCGAGCGAACGGACGAGAAGCUUGCUUUUCUGAUGUUAGCGGCGGACGGGUGAGUAACACGUGGAUAACCUACCUAUAAGACUGGGAUAACUUCGGGAAACCGGAGCUAAUACCGGAUAAUAUUUUGAACCGCAUGGUUCAAAAGUGAAAGACGGUCUUGCUGUCACUUAUAGAUGGAUCCGCGCUGCAUUAGCUAGUUGGUAAGGUAACGGCUUACCAAGGCAACGAUGCAUAGCCGACCUGAGAGGGUGAUCGGCCACACUGGAACUGAGACACGGUCCCGACUCCUACGGGAGGCAGCAGUAGGGAAUCUUCCGCAAUGGGCGAAAGCCUGACGGAGCAACGCCGCGUGAGUGAUGAAGGUCUUCGGAUCGUAAAACUCUGUUAUUAGGGAAGAACAUAUGUGUAAGUAACUGUGCACAUCUUGACGGUACCUAAUCAGAAAGCCACGGCUAACUACGUG